rnacentral:misc_RNA from 1 species
AAAAUUGAAAGAACACUGUCUACCGUCUAAUUCGAAUCUCAAGUCAUUUUCCCUCACAGAAACAAUCAACAUCUCUAAGCCCUGGGAAACUCACAUGGCUGUGAAAGCUUUCUUUCCACCACCAGAAGAUCCAGCUGGAAUCACUUUUAAAACAUUGAACCUCACUGUCUUGGACAAAGGCCUGCAUUGGCCAAUAAUAACAUGAUCUCCCUCUUUCACACGGAAGCAUGGGGAUAUGUGUGCUGGAAUAUUAGAGUGCCGCUUCUCAUACCUCUGGUAUUUUUUAAUAAAAUGAAGGUAAUUGCGUCUAACAAUGAUGGUCCUCAUCAUCUUUGCACUGUGACAAGUGCCAGCAAGUAUGCGGCCUCUGAUAGAAACAGUACCAGUAAAUGGGCAC